rnacentral:rRNA from 1 species
CACGUAGGGCGCAAGCGUUGUCCGGAAUUAUUGGGCGUAAAGAGCUCGUAGGUGGUUUGCUGCGUCCGCUGUGAAAACCCAAGGCUUAACCUUGGGCUUGCAGUGGAUACGGGCAGACUAGAGGUAGGUAGGGGAGAAUGGAAUUCCCGGUGUAGCGGUGAAAUGCGCAGAUAUCGGGAGGAACACCGGUGGCGAAGGCGGUUCUCUGGGCAGUAACUGACGCUGAGGAGCGAAAGCGUGGGGAGCAAACAGG